CAGCUAAAAAAUGUUUGGUGGAAAUUAGAGUAGACACAAAACUUUGAAGGAGAUAACGAACCAGUUUGGUCCUAAACCCUUUGGUUACUUAACAACUGACACUUGGCUAGUUUGGUCCUAAACCCUUUGGUUACUUAAGUGACACUUGGGUUCCACUCUCUCCUUCUUUUAUAGUUGUCACUUCACUUGUCAGGGAGUCAGAGCGAAUCUAACCCUAAAAUCGGGAUUCCUCUUUCAAUCUUCGAUCAAGUCUGGUUCUUCAUCCAUUGGUUACGCAAUGUCUGUAGAAUUGAGUUAAACCCCUAAUUCUUCCGGUUCGAAUUCCACUCGUGCUCAAAAGAUCAGCCCCAAAUCCAGACCAUGUUUCCGGUUCUGAAGAGAUGAUGAGCCUUGUUUCAGAUUUACUUGUCGGACGAGAAUUACAUCUCUUCGAAGCUGGCUGUCGAGAAUUUUACUGUUCCUGCUCACAACGAGCCUAAACGUCGAGAUAAAAGAUCAUCCAUGGCCACAAACCUUAAACGCUUCAGUUAAUCAUCCAUGGUCACAACUGUGCUUUCUGCUUUACUAUGUAUGUCUAUUCUAAUGUACAUAUAUGAUGAAAAGGAUCGGAUCGAAAUCGUGACGAUAAUUAAGGUUGCUCUAUGUUUUUUCUUCGGCUUCCUGUAUGCGCUAUGUAAGUCCUAUGUGUGCGGUGAACCUGAAGUAAAGGAACUGACGGUCGACUGUUCAAAAAGACUUCAUUGCCUCUUACCCUGCAUCGCCAAAGCCGGCUUGCUCAACUUUGGGUCAGGAAUUGAGUGUUUAUUUGAGAUCCUUUAGUAUAUUAAGGAAGUCGAGACUAUUGGAGGGGCUUAAUUAUGCUUGAUUGUGGUUUGUGAAGCAGAGGUGAUAACUCUGUUGGCGACUAAUUACAUAUGAGUUUCUUAGAUGCUUAUUUAGAUUCUAGAAAAUAUCCAUCCAGAUUUCGAUAUUAGGGUUCUUGUUUUGUAAUGGUGGAUAGUUUAGAGUUACAAACUCUAUCAGUCCCUCUGUUCUAUUUAAAUGCAGUGUGGUAGUAGUCCUGAUAAUUCUGGUUUUGUAAAUGAACUCCUAUGUAUGUCGUUAUAACGACAAACUCUAUCAGUCCCUCUGUUCUAUUUAAAUGCAGUGUAGUAGUAGUCCUGAUAA